GACGAACGCUGGCGGCGUGCUUAACACAUGCAAGUCGAACGAAGUCGCUAACGGGUGAGUAACGCGUAAUCAACCUGCCCUUCAGAGGGGGACAACAGUUGGAAACGACUGCUAAUACCGCAUACUGAAGGAGGGGAUUGCGUCUGAUUGGUUAGUUGGAGGGGUCACGGCCCACCAAGGCGAUGAUCAGUAACCGGUCUGAGAGGAUGAACGGCGACAUUGGGACUGAGACACGGCCCAGACUCCUACGGGAGGAAGCAGUUGGGAAUCUGCCGCAAUGGACGAAAGUCUGACGGAGCAACGCCGCGUGAGUGAUGACGGCCUUCGGGUUGUAAAGCUCUGUUAGUCGGGACGCGGUACCGGAAUAGAAAGCCACGGCUAACUACGUGCCAGCAGCCGCGGUAAUUC
rnacentral:rRNA from 1 species